AGUCUAGUUUGGUCUUAUGCAGGUUUCCCAUUUGUCAGACCUGAGUCAGUGAUCUCUCACGAGCUCGGGUCAGCUGAAUCUGUGAGUUUUCCCAUCACCGUCUUGAUUCCUUUGUUCAUACUAUUGCUCCUCCCUUACUUUGCUUGUACUCCAGGAGCUUGGCCCAAUGCACAGGAACACCAUGAACCUGCUGUAUGCUGUUCUGCAGACAUAGUGUUGCCCAAGGCAGACAUGGUAUCUGCCUUCAUGGGACUUACAGUUGGAAGGAAGGACUGAUACCAUUUGUGACCAGCACUGAAAAUGUUUGUUCAAGAGUUUUCUCAUAGAGGCACCGGUUGACAUGCCAACAUUGAUUGGGGAAAUCUCACAAGGUUCUACCUCUAGAUGAAGAUCACUGUCUGCUGAGAGGGAUAAUCAGUGUUCUUCAGGACAAGCUCCCUGACAAACUAUCUAAUCCUAAGUGG
rnacentral:lncRNA from 1 species